rnacentral:rRNA from 1 species
ACGGAAGGCAGCAGUGGGGGAUAUUGCACAAUGGGGGGAACCCUGAUGCAGCGACGCCGCGUGAGUGAAGAAGUAUUUCGGUAUGUAAAGCUCUUUAAGCUGGAAAGACAAUGACGGUACCAGCAGAAUAAGCCCCGGCUAACUACGUGCCAGCAGCCGCGGUAAUACGUAGGGGGCAAGCGUUAUCCGGAUUUACUGGUGUAAAGGGAGCGUAGACGGCAUAGCAAGUCUGAAGUGAAAUCAUAGGGCUUAACCCUGUAAUUGCUUUGGAAACUGUUAAGCUUGAGUACCGGAGGGGCAGGCGGAAUUCCUGGUGUAGCGGUGAAAUGCGUAGAUAUCAGGAAGAACACCGGUGGCGAAGGCGGCCUGCUGGACGGUAACUGACGUUGAGGCUCGAAAGCGUGGGGAGCAAACAGGAUUAGAUACCCUGGUA